rnacentral:lncRNA from 1 species
UUUGCCCAUGCUCCCCUAUUUAUUUGCUUAUUUAAUAUCAGUAUGGACUCACAUAUAUUUAUUUUAUACUUUCAAUCUGUUUUUUCACGGUGACUGUAAAUUCAUGUAUUUUUUUUUUAAUGCAGAAAACAUACAAACAACUGUGCUGUGUGAGAAACAAAUUCUAUGAUGGCAAGAUUCUCCCUCCACAGCUCUUCAUGACUGCCUUUGCGUAGGGUCAUCUUUGGCUUAUUGCUAUUCACCUGGCAACCUCACACAAGCUGUUUCAACUCUGCAGGCCUCAGUUUCCCCAUCUGAAUGAGAGAGUCUUCAUGGAGUGGUCUCAGAGGGGAAGAGGGGAUGAUGUUUGUAUGUUUAUAGGUAUACAGCUGUUCUGUUGCCUAUUUACAGAACUAAAGUCCUUAAGGGCAAGGGGUAUCUUCUCUUAUUUAUGUUGGAAAAUGAACCCAGAGCUAAUAGCCCUUGAGAACAUCACCUAAACGUAAUCUUUAUAUCCCCUCCCACAACCCCAGAUGGUUCUCCUGCCCUGCUGUGCUGCCUCUCUGCAUGGGAUUUGGUUCUGCUUUUCUCGAGUGUCUGACACCCACCCCAAGGCCCGGCAUUCAAGGCCUUGUCCUCCUUGGCCUCAUUUUUGUGCCUCUCAUCUACCUGUACUACGGCCACACAGACAUCCUUGUCACCCCCAUGAAUUUCAGUGCUUACGGUAUCGCCCUCCUCUGUGCCAGGCCCUGGGCUGGGCGCCAGGCCACAGAGAUGAACCAGAGAGGGGCUCUGAGUCAGAGCUCACAGUCCAAUGUGGGCGCCAAGUCCUCGAUCCAUAGCAAUCUGACAUACAGAGGGAUGAGUGGAGCACUGUGGGAGCACAGUGGAGGGAGGGCCUGGCCUGGAGAGAAUCAGAAAGGCUUGGCAAAGAUGCUAACUUCUGAGCUGGGCUUUGACAGGUGUAUGGGAGUUUACGGGGUAGUGAAUGGGAGAAGGCGUAUUCCAGGCACAAAGAAAGGUAUGUGUGUGUGAACCAGAGAAAUGGCAGAGACCAGGGAACAAUCAUAAGUGUCAUGUGUCUGGAGCCAAAGUUCAGGAAGAAAGAAGGGCCCGAAGUGAGACAGGAGAGUGAGGUGGGGACCUCUGUGAGGAGCCUCAAUUCUGGGCUGGCAGUUUCUACUUGCGGAAUUUCAAAGGUGUUUUUCUUUUGUUUUUUUUGUUUUUGUGAGGAAGAUUGGUCCUGAGCUAACAUCUGUUGCCAAUCUCUUCCUCUUCUUGCUUGAGGAAGAUUGUUGCUGAGCUAACAUCUGUGCCAGUCUUCCUCUAUUUUACGUGGGAUGCUAUCACAGUGUGGCUUGACAAGUGGUGCUAGGUCUGUGCCCAGAAUCCGAACCCGCGAACCCCGGGGUGCUGAAGCAGAGUGUAGGAACUUAACUACUGUGCCACCAGACCGGCCCCUAAAGGUUUCAAGCACAGAGUCUGCACAGAGCGGGAACUCAGCGCCCGGCACUGGAGGAGUGGAUUAGAAGGCAGAGCACAUGCUUCAUGGGAGUGGCCACCUUGUCUGUCUUCUCUGCUGCGUCUCCACUGCCCGGCACAGCGCUUGGCCCCCAGCAGGGCCGCAUCUAUAGGUGCCAAACAAUCGGCUGCCCCUCGGCGCCUCCGGGCUGGCCGCUGAGAGCCUGGCAGCCACGCGCAGGCCCGCGCGGCAGGAGAGGCUACCCCACGCAGCCGACAGAUGUGUGGGACCAGAGCUGAGGCCGCUCUCCACAUUGACCUGCAGAGUGACCUCUCUGACCCCUAGGAUCCAACCUUACCACAGCAGGCAGAAAGCCUUUUACUGGCUCCCAGUGUCCCGGAUGAAGCCCACACGCCGUAAAUGAUGAUGAAGAUGAAGGUGGUAGCUACCACAUACCUCUCUCACAACCCCCACAACAGUCCUGCAAGGCAGGCGAGGAUCACUGUCCUCAUUUGUCAAAUGAAAAUCUGAUGGCUCAGAGAGGUUCAGUGACUCACCCGAGGUUACUCAGCCAGCGAGCUGCAGACACAGGCACCAAGCCCAGGGCUGUGGGCUGAUUGUUUGAUGGGCAUUCGAGGCCUGUCAGCCUCCCUCGCCAGAGAAGUUGCCAGGCUCAUCCAGGUGCCCAGGCAUCAGCCUCGUCUGACUCAGCAAGGAGCAAGUCGGAGGCGGCUGCUUGCCCGUCAGACUGCUGUUUUCUGCCUGAGAAGCAUCACUUGCUGUAGCCUCUUUCUCUUCUGCUCCCCAAGGAUCAUUCCGCAUCUGGGGGGAGUCAUUUUCCACAGAGUCAAGAGUUCUGAAAACUCGCUUUAUUGUUGUACACUGAAAACGGAUACCAUGUUAUAUGUGAGUUAUAUCUCAAUUAAAAGUCAGGUUAUAUUAGUGUACACAGCAACAGUAGAAGCUAACAUUUAUGCGGCAUUGAACGUCAAGACCGUGCUAAGUGCUUCACAUGCAUUGUCUCACUUUGUAAGGUCCAUUAAUUUAUUUAUUUGAAUAAGGACCCUCUACACGUGAUUAAAAGAAAGAGAGAGAUGGAUUACAAAAAGGCAUUUGGUGAAAAGUCAGUCUCUUUCCUCCUCUGCACUCCUGUCUCCCACGUCCCCUCCCAGAGACCAGUGUGACCAGCUCCUCGGGUGUCCUGCAGAGUCCCGAGUUACUACUAUCUCAUUUAAUCCUCUCAUCAGCCCUUUGAAGUAGGUAUUAUUAUCCUUGUAUUACAUAUCAGGACACUGAGGUUCAGAGACAGGAAGCCACAUACUCAAGGUCACACAGCUUCCACUUACUCAAGUGGCUGAGCUGGGGUUUCUCCCCAGAUGGACUGCCUCUCACCCUGUAGGCCUCCCUGCCUCCCACAAGGAGGUGAAAACCAGAAAGUUGAGCUGAGAAGCGUGUGCUGGGCAAUCGGCUGGACACCCUCGUUGACAGGCUUUUGCUCCACAUACCAAUCUUGCAGCAAAGAAUUCAAACUUGGACCUCAGUAAAAUGACAAAUUCUGACCCGUCAUAGGCCUUCGAGGUUAUUGACCCAUAGUCAAGACCUCAGAUUUUCCAACCCUGAAUAGUCUUCCGUUCCUGCUGUUUCCUGCCUUCUUGCUCCUUUGCGCCCUUGGUUUGCCCUUCAGUGACGUCGGCUCCGACCAGCUGCUCAGUGUGACUAAGGGUUCGCGGGGCAGGAUAGGAGGCGCACAGCCAUGCAGCUCUAAAACCUGGGUUCUGCCUCAGCUCCGCCCCGCUGGCCCGCCUGGCUGGGCGGGUCCUGUCACUUCUCUGCCUCCAUGUCUUCACUCGCAAGAUAGGAAGAAUUACAUCUAACUUAAAAGGUUUGAGGAUCCUCAAGUGAGGUGAUAGGCCAGUGGCAAGUAGCAAAGCCUCAUGCAAAUAUCGUUAUGUUUAGUAACAAUAAAAGUUGGAGUAAAUCUGGUCGCUCUACGGUGAAAAAGAGCUGGCUAAAUUCGCAGCUACUGUGUUCCCUUCUUUCCAUCCCCCCCACCAAC